rnacentral:tRNA from 1 species
GCCGCCAUCGUCUAACGGCCAGGACAACGCUCUUUCAAGGCGUAAAUCGGAGUUCGACUCUCCGUGGCGGCG